rnacentral:rRNA from 1 species
UACGUAGGGGGCUAGCGUUGUCCGGAUUUAUUGGGCGUAAAGAGCGUGUAGGCGGCCCGGUAAGUCCGCUGUGAAAGUCGGGGGCUCAACCCUCGAAAGCCGGUGGAUACUGUCGGGCUAGAGUGCGGAAGAGGCGAGUGGAAUUCCUGGUGUAGCGGUGAAAUGCGCAGAUAUCGUAAGGAAGACCAGUGGCGAAGGCGGGUCUCUGGACAGUUCCUGACGCUGAGGCACGAAGGCCAGGGGAGCAAACGGG